CUCAAGUUCUUAAGAAUGUGUAUGAGGGGAUGGUCUCUCUUGAAUAACCUAGCAACUAUAGGUUAUGAGGCAAGACAGAUGAAAAAACAGCCAAGUGGACUUCAGAUGGAGAACCCGUGAGUGCCUGACAGAAUAACAUGGAUGCAGUCGACGAUCCCCGUAGUGAGGCAGUGAGUCCUCUGGAGGAAUACAAGUUUUAACAUCGACCAUCAGCACGGUUUGCCACAUCUCCAAGCCUCAUGUUCAGAACUCUACAUGCAUGUGAUCCCUGGAACUGAGACCAGUAUAUUUAAAUGCCAGAGAUAAUCAUGAACAUUAUGCUAGUUCUGGAACCGGUAACAUGGAAAACCCAUUAGCCUAAUGCUAGUUAAGUACUGGGAGCCGAGCAAGGCCGUCUCACCAACAGCUCUAGCAGACUGGAAACAACUGGAGUUCACUGAGUUCCCACAGUUCCAUGCCUCCUAGAAGACCAGCAAUUGAAUGCUCGUCUCUCCGCAACCUGUUCUAAGUACAAGGGCAAGGAUGUGCAGCAGAUGCAGGCUGGGGUGGGUACACCAUGACAUCCGUUUGUGGGUUUUGCUAAGCGGUGACAAGAUAAAACUAAAGUGUUGGGAAAAUGACGCAGUCGUUGAGGAAGCUGGGGAAGACGCCGAGAGGGCUUUUAAUGAGCCUCCCCGUGGUGUGAAUGUAUGUUAAAAAGAAUAUUUAGAUAUUGGUAUUAGAACAUAUGGAAAUAAACGAGCUGGUUUUCCCCGAAGGCUGAUUGGUGUACAAAGUCGUGCUGACUGAACACAAAACGAUUUAUUUGGGAAGCAUAGUUUUGUUCGUGGUUACCGGGGCAACGAACAUGACUUUCCGAAAAUACUUGACCUAGAAGGAAUGGACCGACAUGUUAGUCAGAAAUAUAGCUUUAUUAUCAUAGUAUUUCAUAAUCUAAAAACUUCUUUUUCAUUCUGGGAACAGAAAUAUUCUAACAUCUAUACAUCUGACUGGCCCCACAGCAUCCUGGAAUACAGCCUCCAAGCAAGCUGCACUUACACAUAAGAAUCUGUUAUUAGUUUGGGGAGGAGAUCAGAGGAUGACAAGUAGUUCAAAGGAAGAUCUUUCCCCCCCCCUUACAAAAUAAAUAAUAAAAUUCAAUUUAUACUUCGGUUAAUCCUUGAUCAUAGUUUCCCAGAAACUUUGGUGAUUUAAAAAGUCACUGCUUCAAAUCUAUGGUUGGUUGCCUGAGUGCGUGUGCGUGUGUGUGCGUGUGUGUGUGUGUGUGUGUGUGUGUGUGUGUGUGUGUGCGUGUGUGUAGAUAACAUAUAAAUGGAACUUGGCCAUGGUGUAGGUAAAUGAUCCCUUCGAGCCACCUCCCAUACUUUAACAGCAGAUUUAUACCUCUAGGAAGUCUGUUGUACUUAAUAUAUGUCCUUCUAUGGGGGUCAGAGUCAAGCUGAAACUCAAAAGACGUGUUCGAAUUUAGUAAGUCAAUCUUAAGGCUAUUUAUCUUGAGUAGUGUAUGUAGAGUAGAUACAACAUCAUAGUGCUUUCCAAAGAUGAACACGAACCACGGUCGAAGAGGGCUGUCCUGCCUCCGAGGCUUGUUAAAGGAGCGCCAAAAAUGACUUACUUUAAAUAAAAGAGGAAACAAAUCUGCCUAUACGGUUGUCAAAGCCGAGGUGUUGUUACCGCGCACACACCACAGGACAGGGAGCAUGCGGCACAAUCAGCAAGUCACAUUUUUCAGUGCGGGCGAAGAAAAAAUGCAGCCAUGAUAAAAACAUCAAUAAUAAGUAACUAUGGCGGAAAUUCCUUAUCCCAACAAAUAAUAACACUACAGUUUCCGCAGCAUCGGCCUCCACGGUGAUAGGAUACCAAGCUCUGUUUUUACCCCCACUUGGAAACGGCCUGCGCAUCACACGGAAGAUCUGCCCACAUAGGCCGGAAGUCAGCGAAGACUCAAAACAGCGACCUCUCCUACACAAGGACAGGUGCAACGUGUCUGAAAACGAUGAGUUCUCUUUUUCAAUUUAUUGUCAUCCCAAGGAACUGCUUAAUUAUCUAUUUUUAAUGUAAUAUGCUAAUCAGAUGCUUGUUGCAAUAACAAUAAUUCUACUGGUGUUAGGUUACAGUCUUAACUUAUAAAGGAAUUCGAUGUACAGAAACAAAGCUAUAAAGUUUUAAAGCUGCCCACCACAAACACUUUCUCCAUGAGUAUUUAAAAAUAAACUAUUUAUAUGCUUAACAUAUAUAUAUAUAUAUAGUAUGUGUAAUAUAUAUGUAUAUACUCAUAAACAAUAUUAUUCCUGUUUUGGGAAGGAUGUCAGCACAAAUAAACUCUAGAGACCUGAUGGUGUUGCUCAAUUUAAGGAAAAAUAUAAAAAUUCCUUCUGAAAGAAAAAUUUAAACCAAGAGAUUCUUGAAAGCUUUUUUUUUUUAAUGGGAACAAUGCCAUUUGGGGAGGAUAAUGUCACGGGUCAUAUCCCACAUGCAUUCUUUUUCAUCUGAAAUUACAGCAGAAUGCACCGCACAAUGAACACCCCCAGGUGUGUGGCUGAGAGGGAGGAAAGUGUACACCAGCCAUAGAAGCAGCAGGAGGCAAAGUGAGCUUCCGGGUGGAAACGGAAGUUAGCAAAGAGCAUGCUCACAGGUAACCGGUAGCAAGCCGGUGGAACUUCCAGAGACGCAGGCGGUGGUAGUACGUCGGGCGUCCCCACCGCAUGGCCCGGAUGGCCAUGGGACACUGAAUGUGCCCUCUAGCACAUCAAGCACUUGGGCACCACAUCAGUGCUGCUACUGACCGCAAGGGUUUUAGCAGCUAUCUCUAGAGAGGCUGGUAGACAGACAGCUCUUGAGGGUGCAGCGUGCUUAGCCGAAGAAGGCAGGAGGGGUGCACCCAGUCCUGGAUAAAUAUGCUCUGAUAGACCCAGAUGUGAAUCAACUCCGAAAGCCACCUGGCAAAGUGAGAACCGAGGUCUAACUGAACGUACUCUGUAACCCACCCGGAGACUGAAGUCUUGAUUAACCAGAAUACUCAAGGGUAACAGACGAACCUUUACCAUAGAGACUUUCAAAUGUAUUAAAGGAGAUCUACACAGAAGCAAACGACAAAAGCCUUUGAUUUCACUGCUCUCAACAAGAACUUUACACUCCUAGCUGGGUGCGGUGGUGCACACCUGUACUCCCAGAGCUCAGGAGGCAGAGGCAGGAGGAUUGCUGCAAGUUCAAAGCUAGCCUGGUAUAUAUAUAUAUCAAGCUCCAAGCCAGCCAGGGCUACAUAGCAUAGCACGGCCCUGUCAGAAGACCAAAAGUAGUAUUUUUCUUUAAAGCAGAAGAACUUCACAGUCACAUUCCUUGCCUCAUAAUUCAGAGAGCGGUAGACACCGGAGUCUGGCAUCUUGUGCAGCCCACGUACUAAUGGGCACCGGGUAGAGGAACCCCUGGAGCCAGGUCUGUGGAAGACUGGGCCAAUUAUUUAAGAAAUUGCACAUUCGUGUUUACCAGAACUAUAGGAUUCGAGUGCUUCAAGUUUUACUUCGUUAUUUAAUUUUUAUAAUUUCCCUUGCUCGCACCUAAAGGAGGCCAAAAUAAAGUCUUGGCUUACUGAGA